CAGCAGCCGCGGGAAAACAGAGGGUGCAAGCGUUAAUCGGAAUUACUGGGCGUAAAGCGCGCGUAGGUGGUUUGUUAAGUCGGAUGUGAAAUCCCCGGGCUCAACCUGGGAAUUGCAGUGGAUACUGGGUCACUAGAGUGUGGUAGAGGAUAGUGGAAUUUCCGGUGUAGCAGUGAAAUGCGUAGAGAUCGGAAGGAACAUCUGUGGCGAAGGCGACUAUCUGGGCCAACACUGACACUGAGGCACGAAAGCGUGGGGAGCAAACAGGAUUAGAGACCCCUGUAGUCCCUGUCUCUUAUAC
rnacentral:rRNA from 1 species